AUGGUGUGGAUGAACCGCUUGGCACAGAGUGACCUUCUCAGUGAGACUUCUUUGGCGUGUGUGUGCGCUCAGUCGUGUCCAGCCCUUUGUGGUCCCGUGGACUGCAGCCCACCAGGCUUCUCUGUGCAUGGGAUUCUCCAGGCAAGAAUACUGGAGUGGGUGCCAUGCCCUCCUCCAGGGGACCUUCCCUACCCAGGGAUGGAACCUGCGUCUCCUGCAUCUCUUGCCUUCGCAGGCAGAUUCAUUACCGCUAGAGCCACCUGGGAGGCCUUGUGCUCUAAACAUAUAUUUGAAAUCGCAUUAUUCAUCUUUUACUUUGCUUCCUGUCUUAUCUCACAGAAGCAGAAACUGCCAAGAGAUCAAGCAGGCAUUCAUGAGUGCAUUCAUUUCCAAGGAUCCCUGCAAAGCGACAAAGGAAGACUACAGACGACUGAUCGACCUGGCAGAUCCCACUGUGCCUUGCAACAAGAGAGUCUUAUGGAGCAAAACAAAGGAGCUGGCUCGUGAAUACGCGAAACUGCGGGGCCUGGUGACCCUGGAGGACACGCUGCUGGGUUUCCUUGCGGACCGCCUCCACUGGUGUGGAGAGCCAGGCUCUCCUGAUUUGAACACGUGGUCUUGUCCAGACUGGGAGAAAGACUGCAGAACAAACUAUCGUUCUGUAUUCUGGGAAGUGCUGUCCGAAAGGUUUGCAGAAAGUGCCUGUGGUACAGUCCAGGUGUUGCUCAACGGGUCGCUCGAGAACGCCUUUGAUGAGAUGAGCAUAUUUGGACGAGUGGAAGCCCCUAACUUGAAGCCAAUGGUUACACUACAAGUUUGGCUGGUACAUGACCCUGGAAAACCUCCCCGUGACUCAUGCUCUGGCUCCUCUAUAAAGAAACUGAAGUCCAUCUUAAGUGAAAGAAAUGUCAGAUUUAUCUGCAGGGAUAAUCUCAGGACUCGACUACCAAUCCUGUCCAACAUCAGAAGACUGCGAAAACAACCCUGUGGAUUAUUUCUGGAGAACCGCAUCCAUCCAGGUAAUCCUGGGGUGCACGGCUGGGUGGCAGAGCAGGUGUGGGGCCUGUGA
rnacentral:lncRNA from 1 species